GGGGCUGUAGCUCAGCUGGGAGAGCACCUGCUUUGCAAGCAGGGGGUCAGCGGUUCGAUCCCGCUCRGCUCCACCA
rnacentral:tRNA from 1 species